UACAGAGGUCUCAAGCGUUGUUCGGAUUCAUUGGGCGUAAAGGGCGCGUAGGCGGUUCGUACAGUCAGACGUGAAAUUCCUGGGCUCAACCUGGGGGCUGCGUUUGAUACGUGCGGACUUGAGUGCGGAAGAGGGUCGUGGAAUUCCCAGUGUAGAGGUGAAAUUCGUAGAUAUCGGGAGGAACACCGGCGGCGAAGGCGGCGAUCUGGGUCGAUACUGACGCUGAGGUGCGAAAGCGUGGGGAGCAAACAGG
rnacentral:rRNA from 1 species